rnacentral:rRNA from 1 species
GAUGAACGCUGACAGAAUGCUUAACACAUGCAAGUCUACUUGAUCCUUCGGGUGAAGGUGGCGGACGGGUGAGUAACGCGUGGGUAACCUGCCUUAUACAGGGGGAUAACAACCAGAAAUGGUUGCUAAUACCGCAUAAGCGCACAGGACCGCAUGGUCCGGUGUGAAAAACUCCGGUGGUAUAAGAUGGACCCGCGUUGGAUUAGCUAGUUGGCAGGGUAACGGCCUACCAAGGCGACGAUCCAUAGCCGGCCUGAGAGGGUGAACGGCCACAUUGGGACUGAGACACGGCCCAGACUCCUACGGGAGGCAGCAGUGGGGAAUAUUGCACAAUGGGGGAAACCCUGAUGCAGCGACGCCGCGUGAAGGAGAAGUAUCUC